rnacentral:rRNA from 1 species
CGCCGGGCCGCCGCCUCCGUGCGGCGAGUUCCCGUGUGUCCCCGGGACCGCACGUUCACCCCCGCAGUGCUCUUAACUGAGUGUCUGCGGUAGCGGGUGACCGAACGUUUACCUUGACAAAACCGGAGUGCUCGAGGCGUGGGCGUUCGCCGCCCGUACGUCCUCGCUGGGAAUAAUGGAAGAGGACCGUUGGUCAAAAAAGGUUUUUUGUCAGAGAGGUUGGAGAGCAAAAAAGUGGUUGUGCUGGUGGGAGGUUACAAAGGGGGGUGACUCCCUUUCUCUCGCUGGUCUUCCUCUUUCUCCUCCUCGAAACCUUCCUCCCCGCGUACCGCACUGUGGAUCGGAUGGCGCUUUAUGGCGGUAAGGGUGGUUUGAGAAAGAAAGGUGAAAGCAGGUGGCCGUUUGCCGGAAGGUGAAAGCUGGAUGGCCGGUCGUCUGUGGAAACCUGGACAUCUUUUUCCCCCUCGCUGUCGUGGCGCUUCCGUACCCUCGGUGUCAGCGGGAGGAGGUCGAAAAUCAAAAUAAAAAAACGUGUCAUGAUUAAGAGGGACGGCCGGGGGCAUUCGUACCGCGGCGCGAGAGGUGAAAUUCUAGGACCGUCGCGAGACGAACGAUAGCGAAAGCAUUUGCCAAGAAUGUUUUCCUUAAUCAAGAACGAAAGUCGGAGGUUCGAAGGCGAUCAGAUACCGCCCUAGUUCCGACCUUAAACCAUGCCGUCCGACCGCCCGCCAGGGUUACUACCGCGACUCGGCGGGCGGUGACUUUCCACCGGGAAACCCUUAAGCUUUCGGGUUCCGGGGGAAGUACGGUCGCAAAGCUGAAACUUAAAGGAAUUGACGGAAGGGCACCACCAGGAGUGGAGCCUGCGGCUUAAUUUGACUCAACACGGGGAACCUCACCCGGCCCGGACACCGCGAGGAUUGACAGAUCGAUAGCUCUUUCUCGAUCCGGUGGGUGGUGGUGCAUGGCCGUUCUUAGUUGGUGGAGCGAUCUGUCUGGUUAAUUCCGAUAACGAACGAGACUCUAGCCGGUUAAGUAGCCCGAGUGGCGUGUUGUUGAUUAAAAAACCGCCCUAGCGGCACUCGGGGCGCUUCUCUGAAGCUGUCUGGCUUUAACUGUGGUGGGACAGGGAGGUGGAAGAUGACGGUCGGGGUCGCGUGUGUCGUGGCUCGGAUCUAGUUUUUUUAACUUCUCUUAAAUCCUGUCGCGUUUCUGCCUUUCACUUCUGAGGACCUCUGUUUGCUUACCUGGGGUAGAUAAAACGUUAACGAGAGUCGGGGGACAGUGGACGUUACUCGUGGAAUGGGUGGGCGCUUCUUAAUG